CUCAUUACUACUCUUCGCUCAAGAAAAAAACGUCCCUUUUCCCUCCUCCUUUCCCACCCAUUCGCGCAAGAAACAAACAGAAACUCGGGCACACGAGAAGAAAAAGAGCACAGCCCAGUUCACCUCGGGGACGGGGUACUCCGACUCCAGCUCGAUCCUGCUGUCGAGGAUUCUGAGGAUGUGAGCGUCGAACGGCGACAUGACGACGCUCUCGGCAGAGUAUCGUCUCCCUCGAGGUAGGAGCGCGAGGGCCGCGUCUUGCGGCGGGAAUGGAGGCCGCCGCUGUCGGGAGAGAAGGCUUGCGAGGGUUUCGGGGCGGAGGAGAGGUCUCCGAACCGAACGCGCGAGGCGCGAGCAGGGAGAAGCCAUUUUCGCUCUGGACUCUCUCGAGUUCGACGCUGCUUUGCCG
rnacentral:lncRNA from 1 species